rnacentral:lncRNA from 1 species
AAAUUGUAAGUGAAAUUACUAUAUAUUUAUUUUAUUAUAUUAUUUAAGAUCAUGUUUUUAUUUGGUUAAAGUGCAUUCUUGGCAAUGAAAUUUUGAAAUGGAUCACUAAUCACAUAAUUUGAUAUUUAUACUUCCAUUAGCCAAAAUCAUGCAAUUGUAAACAAAUACAAACCAUGUAGGAAAAAAAUAAAAAAUAAAGUUAAUUUUUGUGUUUUUCAUUGCCAUAAGAUAUACACGCAUAUUACUAGUUUAAGUAAUUUGUUCCUGUAGAUGAAUUAAAAGUAAAUUAUGAUCUGUUUGUGAAAUUUUUUUUUCAUUUAAACAAAUUGUUAAAUAAAUCAAGAUUUUUUAUUUCUUCAUUUUCGAUGUCUAAUUAUUCAAGAGUUCAAGACAACCUUCAAUGUGAUGCUAAUUAUUUUGACCAUAAAGUUGAUGAUAAUGAAAAUGAUUCGCCAACAUUAGUCACCAUUGGAAACAAGAGUAAAAGGUCUUCAUCAUCCUAACCACCACUACCGAGGAAAAAAAAUGGCUCCAAGAUCAACAGUGUGCCAACAUUGUACUAGACUUUCAGAUAAUAAUAACAAUUGCAAAUGCAACUACUGUGAUCAAAAAUUUGAAUGCGGGUUAGUAAUGUGCGAGAUUAGCACUUUGAAGACUCAGUACGAAUAAAAGUGUAAAAAGUGCAAGGGCUUUUAGAAAGACCAAAUAGCUUUAACUCAAGAUGUUGCUAGUGAUGAACUUUUAACAAGGGAAUUUAGUUAGGAUGCUUGCAGACGAACAAUUGUGAAAAUGAUUGUUCUUGAUAAAUUACCUUUUUCUAUUGUGGGAAAUCUAGUAUUUAAGCAUUUUUAUAGUUUGAUGUCUCUUAGAUAUCUUCUUCUCUCACGAAGAACCAUCAUUAAGGACACUCUUGAUAUGUAUGUGGAGGAAAGGCUAAGUAGGAAAACUUAUUGGUUGGAAAUAAGCAAAGAUGUCUUUGACCACUAAUAUUUUUGGACUUCCAUUACAACAACUAGCUACAUGGUCAUCAUAACUCAUUUUAUUGACAAAAAAAUGAAAUUUACAUAAAAGGAUUAUCAGUUUAACACUGCAAACGAUCAUACAUCAGAGAAAAUUUGUAAGUAACUUGAAAAAUAUUUAAUUGAUUAGGGCAUAGAGUGAGUGUUUACCAUGACUAUUGGCAAUACAAAUGCAAAUAAGGGUUCUUUUUGGUAUUUGACUAAUAGAGAAAGGAAUUGGAGGGAUAAUGCCAUAGUAUUGAAUGAGAGUUAUUUGCAUGUUUGUUGUUAUGCACAUAUAGUGAAUUUGAUCGUUACUGAAGGUUUGAGUGAAAUGGAGCAAAGUAUAGUUUGAAAUGCUGUGAAGUAUGCGAGAUCUUCCACCACUAGGAUGUAAGAAAUUCAAAUUCAUGUGCAACAAGAGAACAAUAAUUACCGAGAAAGUGUGAUUUUGGAUUGUCUUAACAAGUUAAAUCCUAUAUAUUUUAUGCUGAAUACGAUAUUGAAAAAGAGGGUGGGAACGAGAAAAGGGAGGGCUGUUAACAUAUAUGUUUCCAUAAUAUUGAUUUUGAUGAUAACAAACAAGAUUAAGAAUGAUUAAUCUUUUAAGCUCAAAUUAUUUAAUAUUCUUUUUAAAUAAAUCAUUAUUUUCACAUUAUAAAUGUUUUAUAUUUAAUGGAAAAAUGAUUUUAUGAAAUUGAUUGUUUUUAUUCUUUUUAAAUAAAUCAUUAUUUUCACAUUAUAAAUGUUUUAUAUUUAAUGGAAAAAUGAUUUUAUGAAAUUGGUUGUUUUUCAAAGUUUAUGGUUUAAUUGAAAGAAUUUUGAAAACUUUGAAAUAAACAUGUAUUGCUUGAAAUCUUGGUAAAGGACUUAUUUGAAAAGUGUCAUAGCAUUUUGGGCUAUACCAUAAUUUUAGAAAGUUUUGGGAUUAACAAAGCAUUACUUAGAAAUUCUGAAAUUGGACCUAUGUGCAAAGUUUCAUAACGUUUUGGGCCGUAAUACAGUUUUAUAAAGUUUUGGGGUCAAACUAUAAAUUUGGAAAAUAUUUUCACUGUAGCAAUCACUGUAGCAACGGCUAACCGUUUAUUUAAAACGGCUAACCGAUAAUUUCCAGAAAGCAUGUUCUGCAAAGUAUUGUUAAAAUGAUGAUUCUGGAAACUAACGGUGAACCGUUUACUGAAAACAGUUAACCGAUUAUUUUCAGAUUGCUAACCUUGAACCGUUUAGUAAGAACGGUUAAACCAAAUUUGUUUUGCAGGUCUCUGGAAAUUAACGGCGAAAGGGUAAGCCUAAACGACUAACCGUUUAUUUGAAAAUUGGCCCAACGGUAACUUUGACCGGCCUAAACGGUUAACCGUUAAUGGUUAACGGCGAACCGUUUUCGAGCAAACAGUCUAUAACGGCUAGUUUUUCAGCUCCAACUAUAAAUAAGCUCAAUCCAAUUCAAACAAGAAGAAAUUCCAACGAUCAUCAUUGAGCAAAAUAUUGAGAAUACAACUUUCAUUGAGCUUUAAAUUCUUGUAUUCAUCUCAUUCAUUCACACAUUGAGCUUUCACUUGUGAUCAAACACAUUGUGUGAGAGAGAUUCAUUUGUAAUCUUUUUUGUAAAAUCAAGUUAAAAGAUUGUAAGUGUUGGGAUACACUUGGGUUAAGAGAUUGGGGAUAAUCUCUUGUUGUAAAGGUCCAUUGACACCUUGGAAGUCAAUUGUAAGCGUUUGAAGCCUUGGGAGGCUAGCUUAGUGAAAUCCUCAAGCCCGGUGUGCUUGGAGGCGUGGACGUAGGCGGGGAUUGCCGAACCACGUAAAAAUCCUUGAGUUUGCUUUCUCUUCCCUUAUUAAUUUAUUAUUGUGCUUUUAUUGAAUUUAUUGUUUUCGAAUUUAUUAAGGCAUUAGAUUAAAUUGUUGUGUGGUUUGCCUAGGAUAAUUUUUAAAAUCCCAAUUCACCCCCCUCUUGGGUUGCCUAGUUAGUAUUUCAUUUGGUAUCAGAGCGAGGUGCUCUUGUAUAGACUUAACCGUCUAGAGUUAAAGAUCUAUAGCAACCCAAAUUAGCUCAACCUUCAUGGAAGGCCAAUCUACCACUAGACCUCCAUUCUUUGAUGGUAAUCACUAUCCUUAUUGGAAAACUAGGAUGAGAGUGUUUUUACAAGCCUUAGAUUAUGAACUAUGGGAAAUAGUUUGUGAUGGUUCAUUCAUUCCUAGGAAGAAUGUUUUAAGUGAAUUGGAUAAGAAAAAGAUGUCAUUAAAUUCCAAGGCUAUGAAUGCUUUAUUUUGUGCCUUAGAUAAAAAGGAAUUUCAUAAAGUUUCAAAUUGUUCUAAUGCUUAUGAAAUUUGGAGAAAACUUGAAAUUGUGUAUGAGGAGACUACAAAGGAGGAGGAAUUUCAUGAAGUGUCGAAUUUGGCACUUAUGGCAAUUGGAGAUGACUCGGAUGAUGGACUUGAUGAGGUAAAUGAUCUUCCUACUUAUAAUGAAUUACAUGAUGCGUUUAAAGAAUUGUAUGAUGAGUGGAUGAAAAUUGGUAAAAAGAAUACAUGUCUUAAAAAGAAAAUGGUAGAGCUUACAAAUGAAAAUAAAACUCUAAGUGCAAAGAUUAGUUGCCUAGAAUUAGAAAAUAAAACAUUGCAUGAUAGAGUUGCAUUAUCAAAUGAGAAACCUAGCACUUCACACAAGCAUCUAGAAUCACAUGUAAAUGACUUGAAAAAUGAAAAAGAUGCCUUGCAAAAAUCCAAUGUUUCAUUAAAUAAAAAGAUCAAAGAAUUAGAAUUAGAUAAUGAAAUGUUACAUGAUAGAAUUGCAUCAUUCACAUGUAAACAAAGUACUUCGUAUGAGCAUGAGAAAUCACAUGUUGAUGAAUUAAUAAAUGAAAAUGAAAUGCUUAAGAAAAAGGGCAAUGAGUUGAAUGAGAUUAUUUUGAAAUUCACAAAUGGGCAAAAGAUGUUGGAUAACAUGCUUAAUUCACAAAAAUGUGUGUUUGAUAAAGGAGGACUUGGGUAUAAGCCUUACUUGAAACAAAAAUAUUAUAAGAAUUAUUUUGUUAAGGCUACCUCUACAAAUGAUCAAAUUGUAUGUCAUUAUUGCAAUCAAAAUGGUCAUAUGAAGAAUAGAUGUCCAAUUAAAAGAAAUGUGUAUUAUGGAGUCAAAUGUAUUUGGGUUCCGAAAGGAACUAAAUCUAACACUCAAGGACCCAAAAGUAUUUGGGUACCAAAGGGCACAACGUGAAUGUUUUCUUUGUAGGUACCACAAUCAAGGAAUGGUGGAGAUUUCCUUGAUGAAGCUUAUGAGGAUAAUCACUUGAUCAUGGUCUAAGCAAAAAUAAUGAGGCAAAAUGAUUUAAUUGUUUUGGUAACUAUUAUUGCCUUAUUGAUUAUAGGUUAUGGUCUUUUAAUCUUAGUAAAUAUUUAACAUUUCAUUUGGUAUCAUAACAUUGAGUGCAUUAACAUGAAGUGGAUAAGUUUAUCUUGCCUAUUUACUAUAUUGAGUGAAUCAUGACAAAUGUAUUUACGAAAGUAUGCUUGUAUGUUUACAUGAUGGAAUUAUCAUUGUGUUUAACAUUUAGUGCUUUAUCAUGAUGCAUGGUUAUAUAUUUAUGGUGCAUGGUUAUAUAUUUAUGAUGAUAGCUUGUCAACUUAUCAUGAUAGAUUUGUUUGAUUUUUAAUGAUCAUGUAAUGCCUAAGCAUGAUAAAUAAGUGAUAUGCUUUAAUUCUAAAUCUUUGAAUAUUUACAUAUUUCAUGAUUGUGUGAUGUAUAUGCAUGAUAGAUGAGUUAUAUGUUAUUUCUUGCAUUAGAAGUGAUCAUGGUGGAUAAUUCGAAAAUCAUGCAUUUGAGAUUUUUUUUGUAAUGGUUUUGCCAUUGAAUAUAAAUUUUCAUCACCUAGAACUCCACAACAAAAUGGAGUUGUAGAGAGAAAUGAUAGGUCUAUUAAAAAAAAAAAUGGUUAAGACCACAUUGAUUAGACAUCAUCUCAAUAAUACUCUCUAUGAGCUUUGGAAAUAUAGAAAACCCAACAUUAAUUAUUGCAAAGUUUUUGGAUGCAAAUGUUAUAUUUUGAACACAAAAGAUAAUCUUGGCAAAUUUGAUCCAAAAUUUGAUGUUGGUAUUUUUCUUGGCUAUUUAAACACAAGCAAAACUUAUUGAGUGUAUAACAAAAGAACUUUGAUUGUGGAAAAAUUUAUACUUGUUAUAUUUGAUGAGUCUAAUUCUUCCUCUAUGGAGAAAGUUGUUUUUGAUGAUAAUGUAGAUGAAGAGCUACAAGAAGAUUAUCAAAUGAUAGCCAAAAGAAUGCACCACUUGAAAAUCAAGAGGAGCAACAUGAAGAAACAAAUGCGAAGUAAAAUGAAAGUACUUCUCAAAUACUCCCCAAGGAGUGGAGGUAUGUUUCUUCUCACCUUAAGAACUUAAUUUUGAAAGAUCCAUCACAAGGUGUAACUACUAUAUCAUCACUUAAAAAUAUAUAUGAGCAUUUGUAAUAGUGGAUUUGAUCACUUGUUCUUUAACUCAUCAUUAUGGCUUUUCUUAAUAGCUAUGUUGAUUUUGAUGAUCUAUAAUGGCAUAUGUUGAUUUUGCUUAUUUAUAUAUUGUUAUUAUGUUCUUAUGCUUUGCUUAAGUUUUGAUGAUAAAGUUUGUGCUUUGAUGAUUCCAUUGUAUUUGAUGAAGUUUGAUUUUAUGCAAUCUAUGAUUGGUGAAUGGGUGCAUUUUUUGUACUUUAUCGAUGUAUUGUUGAAUAUGUCUUACUUGUUUUAAAUGAUAUCGAAAAAGGGAGAAAUACAUAUACUUCGAGAUUUUUAAGCAUAUGAGAUUUUUUUUGUUAUAUUGAAAUGUCACAUUAGAUAUUUGAUGAGUUUAAUUGUCUUUAUUUAUAAAAUGUGAUUGAUAAUUAUGGAGCUUGAAUAUUUGAUAAUAUGCAUGCUAAUUUGGUAAAGAAAUCAAAACCACUUUGCGAAGAAGAAUUUUAAAAAAUUCGGUAUAAACUUGGAAUGAUUUGAUUUCUUGAUGAUUUUGGUAAUUGAUGAUUAUAUGUGUAUUGCUUGAUAAAUUGAAGGAGUUGUUGGUUUGUUAUUAUUGUUUAAGCUUAUAUGGAAGUGUUUUUAACCAUGUUGUGUAUUUGAGAAUUUGUUCAUUUUUAAGGGGGAGAUUAAUAUGAUAUGUUUUUGGAUAAAAUCAUUUCGGUUAAAAUUUUAAAUUGGCCAUAUAUUUAGGGGGAGCAUAUAAUAUGUUUUGGAAUAAUAUGCAUUUUGAGCAAUUGUUUUGAUAAUUGAUAUUUGAUUAUGAUGAUGAUUUUGAUAAUUUUGAGAUAUAAUGACAAUUUGAUUACAUGGGUGUUUUAUAUGAUAAUUUCAUGUUAUGAGUUGUUGAUUUGGUAAUUAAUGGAAUAAUAGUUCAUGAUAUUUUGGUGUGAUUAUUUGUGUAUGGAGUUGGCUUUUAUCAUGAUCUAUAAUAAUUUGGAUGUGAUAUUACUAAUCUUGUUUUUGAGGUGAUGCUUGUUGUUAGGGGGAGAUUUUGUCGAAAUUUCUAUUCGGACAACAUGGGUAACAAAUUUUCUAUUUUUUUAUUCUUUUCCUUUACGUUUUCUUUUUUAUGAUGAAGGGGGAGAAGAAUACAUGUUUUCCAAUUUAUAAAAAUUUGCUACUUUUUUCUUUGCCAAUUAAGUUUUUCUUUUUGAUGAUGAGGGGGAGAAAAUCCAUGUAUUUAAAUAUGUUAAUUUAGCUAAUUGGCAAAUUGUAAAAGAAGAUUAUAUUUAGGAGCAAUUUGUGGAAUCAUUCUUUAAAUACAUGAAAUGUUUGUCAUCAUCAAAAAUGGGGAGAUUGUUAACAUAUAUGUUUCCAUAAUAUUGAUUUUGAUGAUAACAAACAAGAUUAAGAAUGAUUAAUCUUUUAAGCUCAAAUUAUUUAAUAUUCUUUUUAAAUAAAUUAUUGUUUUCACAUUAUAAAUGAUUUAUAUUUAAUGGAAAAAUGAUUUUAUGAAAUUGAUUGUUUUUAUUCUUUUUAAAUAAAUCAUUAUUUUCACAUUAUAAAUGUUUUAUAUUUAAUGGAAAAAUGAUUUUAUGAAAUUGGUUGUUUUUCAAAGUUUAUGGUUUAAUUGAAAGAAUUUUGAAAACUUUGAAAUAAACAUGUAUUGCUUGAAAUCUUGGUAAAGGACUUAUUUGAAAAGUGUCAUAGCAUUUUGGGCUACACCAUAAUUUUAGAAAGUUUUGGGAUUAACAAAGCAUUACUUAGAAAUUCUGAAAUUGGACCUAUGUGCAAAGUUUCAUAACGUUUUGGGCCGUAAUACAGUUUUAUAAAGUUUUGGGGUCAAACUAUAAAUUUGGAAAAUAUUUUCACUGUAGCAAACGGCUAACCGUUUAUUUAAAACGGCUAACCGUUUAUUUAAAACGGCUAACCGAUAAUUUCCAGAAAGCAUGUUCUGCAAAGUAUUGUUAAAAUGAUGAUUCUGGAAAUUAACGGUGAACCGUUUACUGAAAACGGUUAACCGAUUAUUUUCAAAUUGCUAACCUUGAACCGUUUAGUAAGAACGGUUAAACCAAAUUUGUUUUGCAGGUCUCUGGAAAUUAACGGCGAAAGGGUAAGCCUAAACGGCUAACCGUUUAUUUGAAAAUUGGCCCAACGGUAACUUUGACCGGCCUAAACGGUUAACCGUUAAUGGUUAACGGCGAACCGUUUUCGAGCAGACAGUCUAUAACUAGUUUUUCAGCUCCAACUAUAAAUAAGCUCAAUCCAAUUCAAACAAGAAGAAAUUCCAACGAUCAUCAUUGAGCAAAAUAUUGAGAAUACAACUUUCAUUGAGCUUUAAAUUCUUGUAUUCAUCUCAUUCAUUCAUACAUUGAGCUUUCACUUGUGAUCAAACACAUUGUGUGAGAGAGAUUCAUUUGUAAUCUUUUUUGUAAAAUCAAGUUAAAAGAUUGUAAGUGUUGGGAUACACUUGGGUUAAGAGAUUGGGGAUAAUCUAUUGUUGUAAAGGUCCAUUGACACCUUGGAAGUCAAUUGUAAGCGUUUGAAGCCUUGGGAGGCUAGCUUAGUGAAAUCCUCAAGCCCGGUGUGCUUGGAGGCGUGGACGUAGGCGGGGAUUGCCGAACCAUGUAAAAAUCCUUGAGUUUGCUUUCUCUUCCCUUACUCAUUUAUUAUUGUGCUUUUAUUGAAUUUAUUGUUUUCGAAUUUAUUAAGGCAUUAGAUUAAAUUGUUGUGUGGUUUGCCUAGGAUAAUUUUUAAAAUCCCAAUUCACCCCCCUCUUGGGUUGCCUAGUUAGUAUUUCAAGGGCAAAUUUUGAAUAAUGAUCGAGAGGGUGCUUGUUGCAUAAUCAAGUUUAUGAAGACUUUUAUGUUGCAACAUUGGCAUUUUCUUUUUUUCUUAAAGGUGGCAUCAAAUUUUUGUUAUACUUUUGAUAUAUGAUACUGAAUUUACUUUGGCUUGUAUUAAUCGUGUUUAUUUUUUUCUUUUAGGUGACAUCAAAUAUUUGUUACAAUUUGAUAUGCUAAAUUUAAAAAUUUUUAGAAUCUUUGUCUAAUAAUAAUGAUAGCAUUUUAGGUUUAAUGCCAACUAAAAUGAAGGGAAAUUUUGAAAAAUAUUGCAAAGGCUGUGUCAAGGUAAAUAAGUUGUUGAACCAUGGUUAAAAAUAAAAUUCUCAACACAUUGGUUUGAGAAAUUAUAUGGCAAGGAUGAUGCCAAAUGUGGUGAGAUGAAAGAAAUGGUGAAAAAUUUGUUGACUACCCUUUAUGAGUUUUACAAUGCACCAAGUGUAAACUAGGUGGAAAUGGGAGUGGAAGUGGAAGUGUACAAACACUCAACUUUGAUUAUAAAUUAAAGUUUAUGAAGAGUUUUACAACAGAAGAUUAUCCAAAAUCUCUUAACUCAAGUGUUUCCUACACAUACAAUCACUGAACUUUGAUUUUAAAUUAAAGAUUACAAAGAGUUCCCUUACACAAUGUAUGUGUUCACAAAUGAAAGCUCAAAGUGUGAUUUAAUGAAACAAUGACAAGUUUAAAGCUCAAGAGAGAUUGAAUACUCAAUAGCAAGCUCAAUAAUAAUUGUGAAAUCUCAUUCUAAGUUGAAUUUGAUUAAGCCUUUUUAUAGUUGGAGUUGAAAACUAAUUGUUAUUGACGUUCAGCACAUAAUUAGAUCACCGUUUUGACUUGAGCAAGUGACUGUUAUGUGUUGAGUGUUAGAAAAUGUAUAUUUAUAAAAGAGAAAAUCGUUAUUUUACACUUCAAGUUUUACUAACACUUCUACUUUUAUGUAUUUUAGUCUCUUGUAAUGUAAUUAUGUGUAUUUUAUUUUAAUUAAGUAUUUUAUGCAUUUUAGGGGUGUCAUGGUCAUUUCACAAUGAACGAGAGAUCAGACGGCAAAACAGACAUCACUUUUGAAUUCAGGAUAGUUGAAAACCUUAGGAGGAGUAUAAAAGGAAAAAUGACAUUGUUCACAUGUACGACACUAUUCACAUGUACAAUACUGUCCAUGUUACUGUUCACGACAAUGUUCACACAGACGGAACGAUGAUGUGGCAUUGACUAACGAUGUGGCAUUGACUGAUGAGGUGUCACAAUUCCAUUGGACAAAAUUCUUAUGCACUAUUGAUCGAAGAUGUGGCAGCACAUUAAUGGACCAAAAAUCGCGCGUACGGUACAUGUAUAUACACAGGAUUAUUUUCAACCAAACCGCGUCACUGUUCAAGCCGGUUGACUGUUCAAACCCCGUACUAUUGACUGAUGACGUGGUGCAAUCCUGAGCGUCCAAACUGUUUUUAAUUCGAUGACCAUGAUUUACUCAAUAUAUCUAUAAAACAAGGGCCUUUCCCCCUAAUUUGGCAUCUCUGAAUCCAUUUUUGGGCUCUAUUUUAUGUAAUUCCUUCUCCAUCUUGUAUUUUUUUACGUAUUUUAAUAAAUUCUCAUUUUGCCCCUAAUUCAAUUAUAAGUAGCUAAUUUUCUUUCAAGCUUGGGUUGAAGGUGAAGUCUCAACAUGUGUCAUGGGCUUUAUUUGGUAAAUUUAUUUUCUCUUCCCCUCUAAUUGUUUGUGGAUGUUUUGACUUUUCGUCGACAAAUAAUAAUAAUCUUGUCUAGAUACCGCCCUGGUUUCACCGGCUGCCUAGUACAAUGUUAUUAUUAUUUGGCACGAUAAGCCCUUAGCACCAUAUUGAUUAGAGUGUGGUUCAUGAGGUGUGGAUACCCCCCAUGGUGCAUGUUGAUACGGAUUCAGAUACCCAAGUGCCGCAUUUCAAUAGAAUUCGCUUCAAUUUAUUCUCGUCAUUUUAAUUCAAAUUUUAGGAUAAUCUAAGUUACUUUUACCACAAAUCCAACCACCAAUUUAGAAAAAUUAAUUCUACACACAAUUAGAAUCAACCUCCUCGUGGGAUCGACACUCCUCACCAUUGAUCUAUUCUACAAUAGAUUUGUGCACUUGCGAGUUCAAUAAAAUUUGCACAACAAGUUUUUAGCGCCGUUGCCGGAGAGGUAAGUUAUUUUAAUUCGUAGAAUUAAUUUUUAUGAAUAAUUUCUUUUAUAUGUUUUCUUGUAUUUUUUUUCUUAUUAAAAAAAGAAAAAAAGUGAAUUUGUAUUUAGAGGUAAUAAUUUCUUUUCUUUCUCUACUCUUUACAAUUCUGCAAUUUAAUUUUUAAGUUAUUUUUCUUUGUAAUUUUUUUAAUUUUUUUAUUAAUUUAUUUUUAAUUAAUUUAUUUCACGUAUUUUUUUUUAGUGUGUUUUUAUAUAAAGAUUUUAACAGCGUAAUAAGGUUAGUACCAUAAUUUCUCCUUCUUCUUUAUUUUUCUUUGUUUUGUUCCCAUUUAUUUUGUGUUCUUUGCAUGCAUGGUCGAAAGUCAUUAUUACCUAAUCUUGAACCUAUAGACCUUGAACUUGAAAAAACAUUGCGCACACACAAACACAUUAAAGAUAAAAGUGAAAUGGAUUUGCAACAACAACAAGCACCACAGGAGAGGUCAUUUAAAGACUACUUCAGUCCCUUAGUUAAUUUGAACACAUCAUGUAUAAGAUACCCAAAUGUAGCUGCUAGGAGUUUUGAACUAAAACCUAGUGUGCUAAAUUGUUUCCCAACAUUCUAUGGCUUAGAAAAUGAGGACCCAUAUAAUCAUCUGAAUGAUUUUCAUGCUGUUUGUCAAACUUUUAAAUAUGAAAAUUUUUUAGACGAUGAUGUUAAACUUAGAUUAUUCCUAUUUUCUUUAAAGGAUAGAGCUCGUUCAUAGUUAAAUAUUUUGCCUGCUAAUAGCAUUAUAUCAUGGGAACAAAUGGUAACUAAAUUUUUGAAUAAAUAUUUUCCAGUGCAUAAAACUAAUGCUAUUCGCAGGGAAAUCUCAGAGUUUACCCAGAGAGAGGACGAAUAGUUUUUCGAAACAUGGGAGCGAUUCAAUGGACUACUCUUGAAGUGUCCACAUCAUGGGUACGAGAAAUCGCACCAAUGCCAAUACUUCUUAGAGGGAUUAUUGCCACAUGUGCAAGAAUGGCUAAUGGCAACAAGAAGAGGAGAGCUAAUGUCAAAAAGUGCAUGCGAAGGGGAGCUAAUGUCAAAAAGUACAUCAGAGAUUUGGGAAUUCUUCCAGCGACAAGCACAUAAUUCCCAACAACGGAGUCGAUCACUCAGGAAUACUAAAAGAAUUAAGGGAGUGAAUGAUGUUCACAUUGGCAAGUCAAGUCCAGGAAUUAAAGAAGUCAAAGAAAUAGUUGAAGGCCUUUCUCUACAAAUAGCAUCAUUAACGACUGCUAAAUCAACAGAACCACAUGACCAUGGCUCAUACUCAGAUCAAGCCAAUGCCAUAGGUGUAAUGAGAAAACCAUCAAAUUACAACUCACACUCCAACACAUAUAACCCUAGAUGGAGAGACCACCCAAAUUUUUCAUGGUCUCAAGGAUUCCAACAGAAUGGACCAGCAGCUUUAGGUCCACCAAUGCAACCAAUUCCUCAAAUUCCUCAAGCCUCUCAGCCACCAUUUAGACCAUACAAUCAGAACCAGAACUACUCUCAACCUAAACCAUGAGAGGAUGCAUUCCAUAAUUUCAAGAAUGUUACUCACUCUACGAUUAAGCAACAGAACCGCACCAUUGAUGGACUACGAAAUGAAAUGAGAGCAGGCUUCAACUCAUAAGCCCAAUCAGUUUCAAGCCUCGAGAAGAUGGUGGGACAACUUGUUUCUUCAGUUCAAACCUUGCCAAUGACUGUUGAGAAAGGUAAAUUUCCAAGUCAACCAAUGCCUAAUCCUAAAGGAGUGCAUGAAGUAAGUACCAGUUCACCUCAGCAGCACGGAGAUGUCAAAGCAGUCAUGACCUUGCGAAAAAUGAAAAGAAGUCGACAACAAAGUAGAGAUGUCGGUGACAAAAAAAAAUCAAAUUUUACCUGUGAAUGUUGAGGACUCACAAUCGGAAGAGAAAGAAGAAACCAACUCACGAGAAUAUGUUCCCAAAGCUCCAUUUCCUCAGAGGUUAGCUAAAAGAAAAAAGGGAAAAUCCACAGGUGAGAUUCUUGAAAUCUUCAAACAAGUAAGUGUUAAAACAAGUUCUAUCUUAUGCCAAGUUUCUUAAAGACCUUUGUACUAAAAAAAAGAAAUAUUCAUGUUCAAAAGAAGACAUUUUUAACAAAAAAUGUUAGUUUUAUACUCCAAUACAAAAUUUCUCUAAAAUACAAAGACCCAGGCUCCCCCACUAUCUCAUAUAACAUAGGGAACCACACAAUUGAGAAUGCUUUGUUGGAUUUAGGAGCUAGUGUAAAUUUGUUACCUUAUUCAAGGUUUGUGAAACUUGGAUUGGGCGAAUUACACCCAACUCCAGUGGUGUUACAGCUUACAGAUCGGUCCACGAAAAUACCUCGUGGUAUUGUGGAGUACGUGCUUAUUCAGGUAGACAAGUUUUAUUUUCAUGUUGAUUUCAUUGUAAUUGACACUUAACCACAUUCAAUGCAGAACUGGAAAUAUGCAGUUGUCCUUUGGCAACAUGACUAUGGAACUAAACAUUUUCAACAUUGCCAAACAACCUCACAAUGCAGAUGAUGGAAUUGUUGAUGUGGAUUUAAUAGAAACAAUAGUUGAUAAUACUUUUCUUUCAAACCUUAGUGAUGAUCCUUUACAAACAUGUUUAACUCACUUUGGUUUGGAUUUUGAUAUUGACAGAUCAGUCGAUGAGGUCAAUGUUCUACUUGACUCAGCACCAUCCAUGGACGCUAAUAAAUGGAAGUCAAGAGUUGAGCAACUAGCACCAUCAGAGAAGAAACUCAUCACAUUAUCAUAAUCACCACCGAAACUUGAGCUCAAACCAUUACCCAACACUUUGGAAUAUGCAUUUUUGGGAGAAGAAAGUACUCUUCCAGUAAUAAUUCAUUAUCCCUAAAUGACGAAUAAAAAAGUAAGUUGUUGGAUGUUUUAAAAGAGAACAAAGGAGCAUUAGGAUGGACCAUAGCGGACAUAAAAUGUAUAAACUUAGUAGACUGCAUGCAUUACAUUCACCUUGAUGAAAAUGCUAAACCUACUAGGGAAAUACAACGUCGGUUAAAUCCUAACAUGAAAGAAGUUGUUAGAACUGAAGUUCUUAAGCUAUUAGACACAAGUAUCAUUUACCCAAUUUUUUAUAGUUCAUGGGUCAGUCUUAUACAAGUUGUCCCUAAAAAGUCAGGAGUCACAGUAGUUACCAAUGCUGAUAAUGAAUUGAUACCAACUAGAGUAACUACAGGAUGGCGUGUAUGCAUUGAUUAUAGAAAGUUAAAUUCUGUCACACGUAAAGACCAUUUUCCUUUACCAUUUAUCGAUCAAAUGCUUGAUAGAUUAGCAGGCCAUGAAUUUUAUUGCUUUCUAUAUGGCUACUCAAGAUAUAAUCAGAUUCCCAUAGCACCAAAAGAUCAAGAGAAAACUACUUUCACUUGCCCUUUUGGCACUUUUGCAUAUAGAAGGAUGUCAUUUGGAUUAUGUAAUGUACCUACUACAUUUCAACGAUGCAUGUUAAGUAUUUUUUCUGAUAUAGUUGAACGAUUCAUUGAAGUCUUUAUGGAUGACUUUUCUAUUUUUGGUGACUCGUUUGAUCAAUGUUUACAUCAUCUAACACUAGUUAUGCAGAGAUGUAUCGAGAAGAACUUAGUCUUAAAUUGGGAGAAGUGCCAUUUUAUGGUAAAAUCUCGGUCACAUCAUUUCGAGCAAAGGUAUUGAGGUUGAUAAAGCAAAGGUGGAUCUUAUUUCCAAUCUUCCUCCACCUAAAACAGUCAGAAAAGUAAGAUCUUUCCUUGGACACGCUGGUUUUUAUAGACGUUUCAUUAAAGAUUUUAGCAAAUUUUCUUGACCCUUAUGCAAUUUACUUGCUAAGGAUGUACCUUUUAUCUUUGAUGAUUAAUGUCUUGUGGCAUUUGAAAAAUUAAAGCAGUUGUUGACAUUAUCACCCAUCAUUCAGCCUCCAAAAUAGAGCUUACCAUUCGAGCUCAUGUGUGAUGCAUCUGAUUAUGCAGUAGGAGCAGUAUUAGGACAAAGAGUUGAUCGAAUUCCUCAUGUUAUUUACUAUGUUAGUAUGACAUUGAAUGAUGCACAGUUGAAUUAUUCAACUACUGAAAAAGAAAUGCUAGCACUAGUGUUUGCAUUGGAAAAAUUUCGAUCUUAUCUCAUUGGUUGUAAGAUAAUUGUAUUCACAGAUUAUGCUGCUCUUAAAUAUCUUCUCACAAAGAAAGAUGCAAAAGCUAGACUAAUUCGUUGGGUGUUACUUUUAUAGGAAUUCGACUUGGAAUUUAAAGAUAAGAAAGGCACAAAGAAUGUUGUGGCUGACCAUUUCUCUCGUCUCCAUUUUGACACAAUUACAGAACCAUUAACAUUGAAUGAGUCAUUUCUAGAUGAACAAUUAAUGAGUGUGGAAGUAUUACCAUGGUAUGCUGACAUCGUGAAUUAUCUUGUUACAGGUCAACUUUCAAAGUAUUGGACUAAGAAAGACAAGGCCAAAUUUUUUGCAGAAAUAAAGAAUUUCUUUUAGGAUGACCUGUAUUUGUUCAAGUAUUGUGCAGAUCAAAUUGUUAGACGAUGUGUCCCAGAAAGUGAAAUUCAGAAUAUUCUUUCAUUCUGCCAUGAACAAGCUUGUGGAGGCCAUUUCAGUGCUAAGAAAACAGCUACUAAAGUUUUACAAUGUGGUUUCUAUUGGCCAACUAUAUUUCGAGACGCUUAUACUUUUUGUUCUUCAUGUGAUAGGUGUCAACGAAUGGGGAGCAUUACACAAAGGAAUAUAAUGCCACUAAAUCCAAUUUUAGUGGUUGAGAUUUUUUAUGUAUGGGGUAUCGACUUCAUGGGACCCUUUCCCCCUUCUUUUGGCCAUUAAUACAUAUUGGUUGCUGUUGACUACAUAUCGAAAUGGGUAGAAACAAUUACAUGUAGAACCAAUGAUCACAAGGUGGUGAUAGGAUUUUUGAAAAGCAACAUUGUUUCACGCUUUGGAUUUCCUCGAGCGAUAGUCAAUGAUGGUGGUGCCCACUUUUGUAACAAAACAUUCAAAGCUCUUUUGACAAAAUAUUCAAUCACUCACAAAGUGGCGACCCCAUAUCAUCCACAAACCAGUGGCUAAGUUGAGAUCUCCAAUCGAGGAAUAAAGCACAUAUUAGAAAAGACGGUGAGGCCAAACAUAAAAGAUAGGUCAUUAAGACUUGAUGAUGCAUUAUGCACAUAUAGAACGGCUUUCAAGACCCCAAUUGGGAUGUCACCCUACAAGCUAGUGUAUGGAAAAGCUUGCCACCUACCUGUGGAACUCGAGCAUCGUGCGUACUGGGCCAUUAAGAAAUUCAACUUUGACAUGCAGCAAGCUAGCUCAGAAAGAAGAUUACAACUGGCAGAACUUGAAGAAAUUCGCAAUGAUGCAUAUGAAAAUGCCAAGAUUUACAAGCAGCGAAUGAAAGUCUUUCAUGACAAGCAAAUUAUGAGAAAAUCUUUCACUCCAGGUCAGAAAGUGCUUUUAUUCAAUUCUCGCUUGCACCUAUUCCCAGGUAAGUUACGCUCUCGAUGGUCUGGCCCCUUUAUUGUUCAUAUUGUUUUUUCACAUAGGGCAAUUGAAAUUAAGGACCCAAAGAACGAUGUCACGUUUAAAGUUAAUGGUCAAAGAUUAAAGUCAUAUCUAGAGUACCAACCACAUGGAGAGGACACCGAAAUAAAUUUGAGUAACCCACCAGAUUUGAAUUGAGUUUUUUCUUUCUUUUCGGUGAUUUGAUUUUUUUCUUUCUUUCUUUUUAUUAUUCUUUUGCUAAUUGAAAUUAAAAAUUAUUUACUAUUGAAAAUUUCAAAUAUGCAGCCAUUGCUUCGAGCUUAAUGGGUCUAAUAGUAUGCUACCUCUUGUACUCCAUUGUCAAUGUUCCGAGGGAGUAUGAUGGCCCGAAAUAAAUAAAUAUUGGAUACAAAUUUCUUGAUUGAAAUACCAAUUUUAUGUUGCCCGUGAAAAAAUUUGUAGUGAUAAACACUACAAGAUAUGUGUCAGUUGAAUUGCAUUGUUAAUUUAAAGAUCUAGAAGAGUGAUUUAUAUGAAGGAGUUCAAAAACAAAGUGUUAUAUUUGUUUUCAAUAAAUAUAUAACGCAUGGUUUUCAUAGCUCACGAAUGAGACAUACAUGUCUCAUACAUGUUAACAUUCUCCCCUCAGUUGGAAAAUUUGUUUGUUAUCAUCAAAAUCAUCAUUAUGGAAAUAUACAAGUUAACAUUCUCCCCCUUUUUGUUGCAACUAGAUCUAAGUAAAGGAAAGAAAAAGAAGCAAAACAAAGUAAAGAACAAAAACUUGAAAUGUUUUCAUUGUCAUAAAGAAGGGCAUUUUAAAAGAGAUUGUCUUUAUGGGAGAUACAAGUCAAAGGACCAAAAGAAUCAGAGUAAAGAUGUUGCAGUUGCUAAAGAAGAGGGUUAUGAGUCAGCAAAUGUUCUUGUUGCAUUUAAUGUCAAACAAGAAGGUAAACAAGUGCUUGAUUUUGGUUGUUCUUUUUAUAUAUGCCCAUUUAAGAUUCAUUUCACUGAGUAUCAAGAAUUUGAUGGUGGCAAAGUGAUGGUGGAGAAUAAUGCUAUGUACAAAAUCACAUAUAUUGAUAAUGUCAAACUUAAGAUAUCUGUGAUUUUGCAUUCUCCCCUUUUGUAAAAUUUGUUUGUUAUCAUCAAAAUCAUCAUUAUGGAAAUAUACAAGUAACAUUCUCCCCUUUUGUAAAAUUUGUAUGUUAUCAUCAAAAUUAUCAUUAUGGAAAUAUACAAGUUAACAUUCUCCCCUUUUUUGUUGCAACUAGAUCUAAGUGAAGGAAAGAAAAAGAAGCAAAACAAAGUAAAGAACAAAAACUUGAAAUGUAAGAAUAUUUAAUCAUUUGGUCUUCAUGGGUACAUGACACAUAUUUUUCACUAUAAUUUUGAUAUAGUAAAGAUUUGUUAAGUAAACUGUCCUUUUAUAUAUUAUAUUUGGAUUAACUAAAUCUAAAUUAUUAUGUCUAAAUCUUUCUAUUUGUUCAUCUGAAUCUAUGAGGUUUUUAUUUUAACAUCCUCCUGAUCUUUCUUUUACUAAAUAAUCUUUUUAAAUAAUUACCUUCUAAUUUACUACAACUACCUAUCAACUUAUCUUUAUCUAAUAGCGAUAUUUAUAACUCUUAGAUUUCUUGGAUUGAAGGUUUCCUAUAUCCAUGUUUAUUUUUUUUUCCAAAUAUUCCUAUCAAAUCUUCCCAUUCCGAACUUGGUAUAACUUCUGAACCUUUAGUUUUAUCUAUUUGCUUUAAUUUUGAUCUUCCUUCUUCUAUCUUGAAAUCUUAUCUAAUCCUACUAUAUUUUUAUCUUUUAUAAAAUUUAAUUUUUCUUCUAAAUUCUUGAGGCUAGCUCUAUUUUCUCCUAAAUAUCUAAAACUAUCUUAAAAUUCUUGUUUGUUUUAUGAAAUUUUGAUUUUAAAUUUCUACCUAAAUUAACUAAUAAAUCUACUAAACUAUUUAACUGCAAAUUUUUUUGCUUGUAAAUGGUGUCUAACGUUUCCUUCUAUAUUACAAUAGAUAUUAUAUCUAUCUAAAGUUAUCUUGUUAUUAUGAAAAGUACUCUUUUCUAAAUCUAAAUAUCCUACUCGCUUCAUAAACUAUUAUAUCUUCUAAUUAGAAUUAACUAAUUAAACCGUGCUGUAAUACCAGUUUGCUUGUUGUGCAGGUGUUGUGUACAUUGUGCGGGAUGUUAUGUUCGAUUAGCAUCUAAAUUAUUUAUUAUUCUGAAUUGAUAUAUUGUUAGGGAUUGGAACGUAAUUUUCUUAUGGCUUGCUUCUGUUUUCAUUCUCCCUUCUUGUCAUUUCUUUUAUUUAAAAUAUCUGGCAUUAAUUACACAUAAUCCUCACCGUUGAUUAUUCAUUAAUCCAAAGGUAAUUAGGAACUAGUGUGAAAAAAUUAUUUAAUUUGAAGGAGUCAUUUUUUUUAAGGUAAGAGUGGUGGGUAAGGUUUUUUUUUUUUGAAAGAGAAAGUAAAGCUUUCAUUAAGAAUCAAUAGCGAGUAACAACAAAAUCUCAUCUGGGUAAUUUCCCAGCCAAACAGCAGAACUUACAUACUCUAAAGCUUUCUUUGCUAGCCCAUGAGCAAUACGAUUGAAAGAUCUUGAAACAUGCUAGAUUUGCACCCUACCUAGCCUCUUUAAGCUAUCUUGAAUUGUGGCUAUCUUCUAGAAGAUUUCCGUUCUGCUUCAUUUUCUGUUACAAGCAAGAUCAACCACCUCUUUUGAAUCUGACUCUAUGAUCAUUGGCAGAAAAUUUGUAUUUUGAGCCACCUGGAUGCCAAAAUUGAUUGCCUCUGCUUCCAUGCAGUCCACAUCCCCUUUGUAAAGGGUAUUCUGAACAGCUGCUGCUACAACCUUUGUUCUCGAGUCUCUGAUAACCACUCCGAGGCCUGCUGUCUGAUUUGAGGGUCUGAUGGCAGCAUCUACAUUCACCUUAUACCACCCAUUUGGAGGAGGUAGCCAUGUUUGUUGGUUGUUGCUCUGGUUCUGUGAAACAAUUUGGGUAGCUGGGAUUUUAAUCCUUCUGUAUGACUUUACAACUGCUACAACCCUUCCCACUGAUAUUUUGAGCAUCUUCUUUUUUCCCUUUGAAAAUGAAUAGAUUUCUAGAAGACCAAAUUGACCAGCAUGUAGCAAUAGUCAGUUCCAUGUCCUUCCUACUCACAAUUUUCCCCAUCUCCUGGAGGGUGCUUAAUAAAUCCUAUUGAGCCAGCAUCUUCAUGUUCUGGUGAAAAUCAAUUAAUUUCCAGACCUUUUUGGCAUACUUGCAUCCAAUUAAGGCAUGAAAACCAUCUUCCUUCUCCUUACUACAUCUGCCACACAUUGGUUCCUUUAUAGCCUUUCUCUUCCAGAGGUUAUAGGCUGUUGGAAGCAUAUUCUAAGCUGCUCUCCACAUGAAAAUUUUAAUCUUUUCUGGGAUCUCCAUUGACCAAAUAAUCUUCCAAUGAGUUUUUGAUAAAUCUAAGCUGCUGGCCAAAUCUGGGGAUUUCAGUCUUAGAGAUAACUGAUACCUACUCUUAACAGAAUAAUUACCAUGCUUGUCAAAAUGCCAUAUCAAUUGAUCCAAUUGAGGAGAACUUGGAAGAAUGAUUCUUUUUAUUCUUGCUGCAUCCUCUUCUGUAAAUUUAUGAGAAAUCACAUCUUCCGUCCAGGUUUGGUUGCUGAUCAGAUUAGCUACCACAGAAUUUGGGUGUAAUGUCUGGAUGGAAAGAGGCUUUAGAUUUUCAGGCCUUGGAAUCCAGUUACUCUUAUAAACAUACACUUGCUCUCUGUUGCCGAUCCUCCAUCUUGAGCCUUUGUGAAUAAUCUAUCUGCCCCAAAAAAUACUUCUCCACACAAAUGAUGGAUUUGCACCUAGCUUUGCGUCCAUAAAACUGGAAUUCUUAAAGUACUUAGCCUUCAACACCCGAGCCAUCAAAGCCUCUGGAUUUUGAAUAAGUCCCCAGCCUUGCUUUGCAAUUAAGGCUUGAUUAAAGCAUGAGAAAUCUCGAAAUCCCAACCCUCCUUUUAUCUUGGCUUGGCAUAGUCUCCCCCAUUUUGCCCAAUGAAUGCCUCUAUGCUUUCCUACGGAACUCCACCAGAAUUUUGCUACAGCUUUUUGAAUGUCAUCGCAAAUGCUUUAAGGUAUUUUAAAUACACUCAUAGUAUAUGCCGGCACCGCUUGAGCCACAGCUUUUAUGAGCACUUCUUUUCCCCCACAAGAAAAAAAAUUUGCUUUCCCAGCUGGUUAACUUAUUAAGCACCCUUAGCUUAAUAUAGUUAAAAAAAAUUGGUCUUCUUUCUUCCCACCAUAGAUGGCAAUCACAGGUACCUCUCAUGUCUCGAAACAACGUUCAACUUAAAAAUGCUUCAUAUUUCAUCUGUCUGGCUCUGCUUUGUGUUGGUGCUGAAAAACAUUAAAGACUUCUCAAAGUUGAAUAUCUGACCCGAAGCAGCAGCAUGCACUUCAAAGAUCUUUUUUAGGUGCCUGCAGUCUACAGUAGAAACCCUUGAGAAAACCAAGCUGUCGUCUACUAAAAGGAGAUGAGAAAUAGACAAAUUUCUACUGAACUUCAGCCCCUGGAUCAGCUUUUGUUUUUCAGCCUGCAUGAGUAAAUUCGAGAACACCACUGCACAAAUGAUGAAUAAAUAUGGUGAUAAUGGGCAGCCUUGUCUUAAACCUCUUUGAGGAUAGAUUAAACCUUUCGCCUCCCCAUUAAUCAAAACUGAAAAACUUGCUGUGGAUAUACAGUUCAUGAUCAAGUUCACCCAAUUUGCCGAGAAGCCUAGCUGCUGCAUUGUGGUUUUCAAGAAAUUCCACUCAAUUCUAUCAUAGGCUUUGCUAAUGUCUAGUUUGAGUGCUACCAACCCAUAUUUUUUACCCCUACUUUGCCUAAUUUUGUUUAGGCAUUCAUACCCGAUUAUUACAUUAUCCGUAAUUAGCCUAUUCGGGAUAAAAAGCGCUUUGAGUUGGAGAGAUAAUAGUAUCCAAAAUUUGCUUCAACCUAUUUGCCAAGGUUUUUGCCACAAUCCUAUAAAUAACAUUACAAAGGCUAAUUGGCUGGAAAUCAGUCAUUUUCCUAGGAUUUUGUAAUUUUGGAAUCAAGGCAAUAUAAGUAUGAUUUAAAGGAGCGAUACUACCUCCCUCAUUUAGGAUGUGCAGGCAGGUAGUGGUUACACCUUCCUUGACUGAGCUCCAGUGCUUCUGAUAAAAGGCUGCUGGGAGACCAUUCGGGCCUGGAGCUUUGGUGGGGCACAUCUGAGCAAGAGCCUCUGCUACCUCCUCGGCAGUGAACUGUUGAUCCAGAAAGCAAUUCAUUUCUUCCGUUACUCGCUUUGGUAGAUCUGCUACGGCUGUCUCCAGCUGAGUUUGGGAUGGAUUCGUUGUGUUGAAAAUGUUUGCAAAAUAAUCACACAACAAUUUUUCCACUUCUUCUGCUUCCUCUUUCCAUAAUCCAUCUUCAUCCUCCAGCCCCAUUAUCUUAUUUUUUUUCUUUUCCUCGCCGAUGCCUUAGCAUGAAAAAAUUUAGUAUUUCUAUCCCCUUCUCUCAGCCAAUCCGCCCUCGAUCUCUACUUCCAGAAGAUUUCUUCGUCAAUUAGAAUAUUAUCAAUUUGUCUUUCUAUGUUUUUGAUUUCUAAUUCGCUGUCAUAAUGGCCAUGGUUCUGUCUGAUUUCCUUUAACCUCUCCUUUAGCUGCUUCAGCCUUUUUUGUCUGCCCUUGAACUCCUCAUUACUCCAUAGCUUGAGUUCAGCUAGUGACUCCUUUGACUUCCUUUGAAACAGAUCAACAGGAUUUCCCAUGUCCCAACGGCUUGAUUCCUUCAACUCCCGCUUAACUAUUUCUCUACAUUUCUCAUAUGGGCUCCACAUAUCGUCAUAAUGAACUCUGUGGAAAGUUCUUCUGGAAUACCUCAAUCCACUUCCUCUUUCCAGCACUUCCAUAAGAAUUGGGUUGUGAUUGGAGCUCCAAGUCACUAGAUUCAUUGCUGCUUUCUCCUGGAAAUAAUUGCCCCAACUCCUACUGCAAAGAAAUCUAUCUAAUCUCUCUUCAAUCAACCCAACACCAAACCUCCUAUUUGACCAAGUAAAGGGAUAUCUAUGAAAUCAUAUUCCCUAACCGCUUCUCUAAAGUCAGCCACUGAGUUAACUUGUUUCUCAUUUCCUCCUAGCUUUUCAUUUAAAUUUAAGACUUCAUUAAAGUCCCCAAAAUAGAGCCAGGGUAAAGAAGAUAACGUUGCUAACCUUCUCAACAAUUUCCAAGUAUGUUGUUUUUGAGCUGCUUCUGGAUGACCAUAGAUACCCGUACAUAUCCAAUAACUCCACUUUUCACUAUAGACCACAGCAUCAAUAUGAUGACAACUGAAGGAUUUUAUUUCCACUGUUAUCUCCGAAUUCCAUAGCAUUGCCAAGCCUCCCCCAUUCCUUCUCUACUAACUGCAAAACAGUUUGCAAAAUGCAGCUCGUAACUCUUUUUUCUCAUUUGCUCCCUCGUCAUUUUCGUCUCACAAAAAAACACAAUUUGGGGCUUGUGCUCAUGGACAACCUCCUGAGCUUCUCGGAACGUCCAAUCGCUCCCCAAUCCCCGAACGUUCCAGCUUAAGAUCCUCAUGGCUGUCGGCGGGGCUGGUUUUCAGCCACCGCCGAUAAUUCAUUGACAUUACAUGCAACUGCUUCCAUCUCUUCAUCCUCUAGCCUCAACGUUGUAGCUUCUGUAAUGUUUAGUUGAGCUCGUUGAUGACAGCCAUAUUUUUUUGGGGUACUUCCUUUGAGCUUCUUUGAGUUUGGGCUUUCCAAAUUUAGCCAGCUAGCCGACCUUUUUCCUUUUGUUUGCCCAUCUUUUGUUCCCCCUUUUCCUUCGUGAUUUCGUGCAUGAUACUUCCAUUUCCGUCUUUUGGGCCUAAGCUUUUCAUCCUUUAGCCCAUUGUUGCCAUCUUCGGCCUCUGAUUCUAUUUGAAAAGAAAGCCCACUUGCCUUUUGUUUUUGUUCUAAACUUUCUAAUUUCCAGAUUUUUCCUUCUACUUCCCGCUCACCAUUUCCCGCUUCUUCUUCCACUAACUUCAUGUCUUGUUGUAAUUUCUUUCCCGCCCAAUUUGUCCCUGCCCCAUGAACUGCAAUUUUGUCAGCCUGCUGCUCUGACCCUAAAUAGCUAUUCUCUAGCUCUUUGAGAUUUGCUGCUGCUUGCAUUAAAUGAUCAGCAUCACCUCCUUGAAGUAUUUUUCUUAGCUUAGUACAAUAAUGAGUUUUAUCUGUGGGUAAAGUUAAAUAAAUACUUUUAGUCUCCUCUCAUAAUUAUAAUUAAAGUGAUCAGUAAAUGAAAUUUACUUAAAAAACACUCUAUCAAACCUGCUAAAUAAUUUGAAAGAGACAUUGAUUCUUCCCCUGCCUAUAAAUAAACACGUUUUUAAUUAGUUUUUGAGAAAUGUUGAUUCCUAAUCCAAUCGCGAAUUCACACAUAGUGAUUGACUUUUUAUUCUUAAAUAUACUGUUGAUUUGUGUGUGUGUGUGUGUAUAUAGGUUAAUGUCUUUUGCUCAUCUCAGUGGCACUGUCAGUAACAUCAAAAGAAAUGAAACCUCACGGUUUGUUCUGCCCAAACGUUAUCUCAUUUGUUUCUUCUCUUUUAUUGUUAUUUCGUGGGGCGGCUUUAGCACCUGAAAAUCAUGAAAAUUUUCUCAAAUGUCUUUCUCUACAAUCUGACACCAUUUCUAAAGUGAUUUACACCCAAAACAACUCUUCAUAUUCAUCAGUAUUGAAGUCUUCAAUACAAAAUCUUGUUUUCUCAGCACCCACAAACCAGAAACCUCUAUUCAUCAUCACCCCAUUUCACGUGUCCGAAAUUCAAGCAGCCAUUAAAUGCUCCAAAAAAAGUGGUCUGCAAAUUAGAGUACGAAGUGGAGGUCAUGAUCUUGAGGGUCUUUCCUCUAUUUCUGAUGUUCCUUUCAUCAUUGUUGAUUUGAUAAAUUUUAGUGAAAUCAGUGUUGAUGCAGAAGCAAAAACAGCAUGGGUUCAAUCUGGUGCCACCGUCGGGCAGCUUAAUUAUAGAAUUGCUGAGAAGAGUCAAAAUCUGUUAGCAUUCCCGGUAGGAACUUGCCCUGGUGUGGGUGUUGGUGGACAUUUUAGUGGCGGUGGCUAUGGUGCCUUGUUGCGUAAAUACGGUGUUGCUGCUGAUCACAUAGUUGAUGCUCACAUGAUUGACGCCAAAGGUGAGAAAUUUUGAAAAAACAAAAUAGAAAAGAUACAGCAAGGUCACUUGAGUCGUAAGACUUGAAUUGUUUUAGAUAAGAAGAAAUUAUACGUGAAUUAUAUUGUACAUGCCUUUCUUUUAUUGUAAUUUCCAUUUAGGUUAAAAUUGUAAACUUCACAUAGGAGUGUUGUCAGGACUUUUGACCGUAAACUUCACUUUUUAGCCUUAAAUUACCUUUUCAGUAUUUGUACUCAUAAGAUUAACUAAUGAAAGCACUCUGUUUGAAAAUCACUUUUCCAGUCCUCUGUGGACACAAUCAAUCACUUCAUUCACAUCUUUGCUGUUUUAAUUAUUUUCAGGCAGAUUUUUGAAUAGAGAAUCAAUGGGAGAAGAUCUAUUUUGGGCUAUUCGCGGUGGCGGAGGACCUAGCUUUGGAAUCAUUAUUUCAUGGAAAAUAGAGCUAGUCGAUGUUCCGUCAACUGUGACUGUAUUUGCCAUCCCAAGAACCUUAGAACAAAAUGCGACAAAGCUACUUCACAAAUGGCAAUACAUUGCAGAUAGGGUCCAUGAAGAUUUAUUCAUCUCACCCUUCUUAUAUAGAGCGAAUUCUACUAUGGUCUGUUUAUUCACAUCCCUGUUUCUUGGUGGGGUUGAUAGGCUACUUCCAUUGAUGCAGGAGAGCUUCCCUGAGCUCGGAUUGACCCAAGAAGACUGUAGAGAAAUGAGCUUUAUUGAAUCCGUUGUCUACAUUAAUGGAUUCGAGAUUAGAGAGUCAGUUAAUGCGAAUAUAUUGAUUGAUGAUAGAUUUAUCAAAAGGUUCUUCAAAGGAAAAGCAGACUAUGUGAUAGAGCCAAUUCCAAAAGAAGCUUUUGAAGGGUUAUAUGAUUUAUUUUAUGAGGAGGAUCCACGAACCUACGGCCUUCUAGUAUUUU